UGGUGUCUAGGUGCUGAAUGCCCUUGAGCAUUUAUCUACUCCUGGCUUUAUUUGCCUUUAUAAUUCAGAUCACGUUAUCGUGGUAACUUGAGGGAUGUAACUGGCAGGAAGUGCUUUGAGGCCCACAACUGGGCAUUGGUGAUGUGGGAGCUGGCAGCGCCUGUCCUUUGCUGAAGUUCCAUCAAGAACGCUUUCAACUUCAUAGUCUCUGUCGUUGAAAAAUUUGCUCUUCUCUAACAUGCAGAUUAGAGAGUGUCUACUGCUACAACAUUCCAACAUUUCUCCCAAGACCAGGGAACUCUGAGGACCAGACACUUAUUUAGAUGCCAACCUUCUCAGCAGGCCAUGGGUUGAUUCUCCAGGAUCCUCAGUAUUGAUUUCUCAUCCCAGAAUUCUCCACACUUGGUCCAGAGGCAUCUGUCCGGCUAAGAGAAGGUCCACUUGGGAUCUCCAAAUUCAGCAGAUUUCUGCAGUGCACUCCCAUGCCUCUCCUUCCAGAGUAGGCAGGAGGAUAUGCCACUUGUGGUGUCUGUGCUGGAAGAGCAGUGGCCCAACGGUGACUCAAAUCAUGGUUUAAGGUAACCCUGAGGUGUUCAGAAUGGUUUGAUAACUACCUAUCUGAACUCCUGGGAACUGAUGAUAUAUAGGUCUCCUACUCCUCUGCCAUCUUGCUCCAGAGGGACACGUAGCAAGAUGGGAAACACAAGCACGAGCAGUGGGAGUGGGAGAAGCAGGCUUCCCACUGAGCAAGGAGCCCAAUGCAGGGCUCAGUCCCAAGACCCUAGGAUCAUGACCUGUGCCGAAGGCAGACUCUUAACAACUGAGCCAUCCAGGCGCCCCAAUACUGUACCGCUUUUUAAAAUGAAGUAAAAUAAUAAAAAAAAAAUUUGAAAACAA